rnacentral:piRNA from 1 species
UGGUACUCAGUCCUGCAGUAGGUGCACU